AAAAUGAGAUUUGAAGGCGAAGAGGCUCCUGAGCAGAGGU
rnacentral:sRNA from 1 species